AUUGAACGCUGGCGGCAGGCCUAACACAUGCAAGUCGAACGGCAGCACAGAAGAGCUUGCUCUUUGGGUGGCGAGUGGCGGACGGGUGAGUAAUGUCUGGGAAACUGCCCGAUGGAGGGGGAUAACUACUGGAAACGGUAGCUAAUACCGCAUAACGUCGCGAGACCAAAGUGGGGGACCUUCGGGCCUCACACCAUCGGAUGUGCCCAGAUGGGAUUAGCUAGUAGGUGGGGUAAUGGCUCACCUAGGCGACGAUCCCUAGCUGGUCUGAGAGGAUGACCAGCCACACUGGAACGGAGACACGGUCCAGACUCCUCCGGGAGGCAGCAGUGGGGAAUAUUGCACAAUGGGCGCAAGCCUGAUGCGGCCAUGCGGCGUGUAUGAAGAAGGCCUUCGGGUUGUAAAGUACUAUCAGCGGGUAGGAAGGCGGUGAGGUUAGUAACCUUGCCGAUUGACGUUACCCGCAGAAGAAGCACCGGCUAACUCCGUGCCAGACGCCGCAGUAA
rnacentral:rRNA from 1 species